rnacentral:rRNA from 1 species
AACGAACGCUGGCGGCGUGGAUUAGGCAUGCAAGUCGAACGAGAAUCUGAAGGUCCAAGUUUUCGGACAAGGACUUUUGGAGGACAGUGGCGGAAGGGUGAGUACAACAUGGAUAAUCUACCUUCAAGUUGGGUAUAACUCCUCGAAAGGGGAGAUAAUCCCGAAUGUGGUGAUCCGGCGCAUGCCGGAGAAUCCAAAGGCGGGGACCGCAAGGCCUGUCGCUUGAAGAUGAGUCCGUGCACUAUCAGCUAGUUGGCGGGGUAACGGCCCACCAAGGCUAUGACGGUUAGCUGGUCUGAGAGGAUGGUCAGCCACACUGGGACUGAGAUACUGCCCAGACUCCUACGGGAGGCUGCAGUCGAGAAUCAUUCGCAAUGGGCGAAAGCCUGACGGUGCGACGUCGCGUGGAGGAUGAAGGUCUUCGGAUUGUAAACUCCUGUCAUGAGGGAUAAAUGGCCAGGGCACGAAUAGUGCCUUGGAAUGAUAGUA